rnacentral:rRNA from 1 species
UGGUGGAGCGAUUUGUCUGGUCAAUUCCGAUAACGAACAAGACUCUAGCCUACUAAAUAGUUCGGGGACCCCCACAAAGGGGCCCCGCUUCAACUUCUUAGAGGGACAGGUGGCGUUUAGCCACACGAGAUUGAGCAAUAACA